AUCAUGCUCCUUCUGUCCGGAAAUACUUGUAGAAGAAAUGAAUAUAUCUAGACAUAUUUUAGCUUUAGAUAUAUUUAUUUUUAUCUAUUUCUCCGACAAAUAUUUUUGGACGGAGGGAGUAUUUG
rfam:Triticum aestivum genome assembly, contig: Triticum_aestivum_CS42_TGACv1_scaffold_147258_2BS